rnacentral:piRNA from 1 species
UGCUUCGAGAUAUUCCUGAAGUUCCAGAGU